GACGAACGCUGGCGGCGUGCUUAACACAUGCAAGUCGAACGGAAAGGCCCUGCUUUUGUGGGGUGCUCGAGUGGCGAACGGGUGAGUAACACGUGAGUAACCUGCCCUUGACUUUGGGAUAACUUCAGGAAACUGGGGCUAAUACCGGAUAGGAGCUCCUGCUGCAUGUUGGGGGUUGGAAAGUUUCGGCGGUUGGGGCUGGACUCGCGGCUUAUCAGCUUGUUGGUGGGGUAGUGGCUUACCAAGGCUUUGACGGGUAGCCGGCCUGAGAGGGUGAACGGCCACAUUGGGACUGAGAGACGGACCAGACGCCUACGGGAGGCAGCAGUGGGGAAUAUUGCACAAUGGGCGGAAGCCUGAUGCAGCAACGCCGCGUGCGGGAUGACGUCCUUCGGGUUGUAAACCGCUUUCGCCGGUGACGAAGCGUGAGUGACGGUAAUGGGUAAAGAAGCACCGGCUAACUACGUG
rnacentral:rRNA from 1 species